UACGUAGGGUGCGAGCGUUAAUCGGAAUUACUGGGCGUAAAGCGUGCGCAGGCGGUUUUGUAAGUCAGAUGUGAAAUCCCCGGGCUUAACCUGGGAACUGCGUUUGAAACUACAAGGCUAGAGUGUGGCAGAGGGGGGUGGAAUUCCACGUGUAGCAGUGGAAUGCGUAGAGAUGUGGAGGAACACCGAUGGCGAAGGCAGCCCCCUGGGUUAACACUGACGCUCAGGCACGAAAGCGUGGGGAGCGAUCCGG
rnacentral:rRNA from 1 species